rnacentral:rRNA from 1 species
GGGAAAAAGGCCUUGGGGUUGUAAACCGUUUUUAGCGGGGGGAAAAAACUUUGGGUUUAAACCCCCGAAGGGUGACGGUACCUCCAGAGGAAGCCCCGGCUAACUAUGUGCCAGCAGCCGCGGUAAUACGGAGGGGGCAAGCGUUUUUCGGAAUUACUGGGCGUAAAGGGCGCGUAGGCGGCCUGGUAAGUCUGAUGUGAAAUCCCCCGGCUCAACCCGGGAACUGCGUUUGAAACUGUCUGGCUUGAGUCCGGGAGAGGGAUGUGGAAUUCCCGGUGUAGCGGUGAAAUGCGUAGAUAUCUGGAGGAACACCGGUGGCGAAGGCGGCUUUCUGGGCCGGUACUGACGCUGAGGCGCGAAAGCGUGGGGAGCAAACAGGAUUAGAUACCCCGGUAGUCCUCGCCGUAAACGAUGGGUGCUAAGUGUGGCGGGUAUCGAUCCCUGCCGUCCCGCAGCUAACGCACUAAGCACUCCGCCUGA